AAUAUUGGACACUGGGGGCAACCCUGCUCCAGCCAUGCCGCGUGUGUGAAGAACGUCUUCGGAUUGUAAAGCACUUUAAGUUGGGAGGACGGGCUUUCGGUUAAUACCCUGAGGUUCUGACGUUACCCACAGAAUAAGCACCGGCCAACUCUGUGCCAGAAGCCGCGGUAAUACAGCGGGUGCAAGCGUUAAUCGGAAUUACUGGGCGUAAAGCGCGCGUAGGUGGUUCAGUAAGAUGGGUGUGAAAUCCCCGGGCUUAACCUGGGAACUGCUUUCAUAACUGCUGAGCUAGAGUACGGUAGAGGGUAGUGGAAUUUCCUGUGUAGCGGUGAAAUGCGUAGAUAUAGGAAGGAACACCAGUGGCGAAGGCGACUACCUGGACUGAUACUGACACUGAGGUGCGAAAGCGUGGGGAGCAAAC
rnacentral:rRNA from 1 species